rnacentral:lncRNA from 1 species
GCAGAGAUAUGAACACCUACUCUGCCCUACAACUCUUAUAACAGAUGAUGGAGAAUAAUAAGAAACAUGUAUCAACCUUUGAGAAUGUCCCCUUUGCCAGUCACUUUACCUUUCUGCAUCAGAUACAAGUGACCAGAAGAGAAACAUGUAUAGACAACCAUCCUUCAAAAAUGGAAGAUGAGAAUUCCUGUGGAGGAAAGACACAGCCUUUCAUCCCAAGUGGUCAGAGAAUCUUCUCAAGUCAAAUAUGCAGACCGUAAUAUGCCUGAACAUUGGUAUUAUGUAAGAAAAAUGCUGUGUAUUCUACUACUUUAGAAAACACUUCGUUAACACCUAGACACAGUAGGGUGGUGGUUACUAAAGGGAAGGGGGG